rnacentral:rRNA from 1 species
UACGAAGGGGGCUAGCGUUGCUCGGAAUCACUGGGCGUAAAGGGUGCGUAGGCGGGUCUUUAAGUCAGGGGUGAAAUCCUGGAGCUCAACUCCAGAACUGCCUUUGAUACUGAAGAUCUUGAGUUCGGGAGAGGUGAGUGGAACUGCGAGUGUAGAGGUGAAAUUCGUAGAUAUUGGGAAGAACACCAGUGGCGAAGGCGGCUCACUGGCCCGUAACUGACGCUGAGGUGCGAAAGCGUGGGGAGCAAACAGG